rnacentral:rRNA from 1 species
AACGAACGCUGGCGGCAGGCCUAACACAUGCAAGUCGAACGCUCCGCAAGGGGGAGUGGCGCACGGGUGAGUAACACGUGGGAACCUACCUUCUGGUACGGAACAACCAAGGGAAACUUUGGCUAAGACCGUAUACGACCUCCGGGUGAAAGAUUGAUCGCCGGAAGAGGGGCCCGCGUCCGAUUAGGUAGUUGGUGAGGUAACGGCUCACCAAGCCUUCGAUCGGUAGCUGGUCUGAGAGGAUGACCAGCCACACUGGGACUGAGACACGGCCCAGACUCCUACGGGAGGCAGCAGUGGGGAAUAUUGGACAAUGGGCGCAAGCCUGAUCCAGCCAUGCCGCGUGAGUGAUG